AAGUCGUAACAAGGUUUCCGUAGGUGAACCUGCGGAAGGAUCAUUACAAUUCAGUAGCUUGCUACUGGUCGGGAGGCGCUGUAAGUCCGCAUAGUUUAAUUACUGAUGAGCGGCGAGCCCUCUGUCUGUACCCUUGUCUUUUGCGCACUCAUGUUUCCUCGGCGGGCUUGCCCGCCGACUGGACAAACUUAUAACCUUUUUAAUUUUUAAUCAGCGUCUGAAAAAACUUAAUAAUUACAACUUUCAACAACGGAUCUCUUGGUUCUG
rnacentral:misc_RNA from 1 species